rnacentral:misc_RNA from 1 species
GAAAUGCGAUAAGUAGUGUGAAUUGCAGAAUUCAGUGAAUCAUCGAAUCUUUGAACGCACAUUGCGCCCUUUGGUAUUCCUUAGGGCAUGCCUGUUCGAGCGUCAUCUAACCUUCAAGCCCUGCUUGGUGUUGGGUGCCUGUCCCGCCUCCGCGCGCGGACUCACCUCAAAUCCAUUGGCGGCCCCCGCGUCGGCCACGAGCGCAGCAGAAACGCGAACUCGUGAGCCCGUCCGGGCGGCUCCCAGAAGCUACACCCACCCAGUUUGACCUCGGAUCAGGUAGGGAUACCCGCUGAACUUAAGC